GAAGUCGCCCAAACAAUAAAAUGCAAAAUGGCUCCAUAGCGCCCCCUAAGGUGAAAAUUCACACUAUUGACUGUCACGCCUUUACGCUUUGGCAAAAUGACACAAAAAUUGACACACACAUGUAUCUCAAUAAGAUCUACGAAAAAGUCAGUGCGGGCGUAUCUGUCAAAAUUACGGUUAAAGGGUUAUUUCGCAUUUUUUGCCGAUCCACACACAUCGGAAUUUCGCUAACUCCUCUGAAGACUUUCGUUCCAUCGGCACAACAUUUGCUCAGGUCAAUCUACACCCCAUGGCCAUUAAAAGUUAUUCAAAUCAUGACGCUGCACCCCACGGUUUAGGUUCUAGGGGGCGCCAAAGAUAACCCUAAAAUCCACAUAUUUAAAAGUCUUAUAACUUUUUAUUUUUGUCCCCACUGGCCUCUAAGUUUUCUAGGAUGAUGCAAUGUCCAGCCAUCAACACAUUUGUGAAGGAAUUUUUACUCCCCAAAAGAGCGCCCCCCCAUGGCAGGAGAAAAAAGUCAAUUUUUUCUUGUCCACUAAGGUGAAAAUACACAUUGUUGAGUGCUUCGCCUGUAUGUUUUGUCAUAUUGACACAAAAUUUGACAAUCACGUGUAUCUCAAUAAGAUCUACGAAAAAGUCAAUGCGCGCGUAUCUGUAAAAUGUACGGUUAAAGGGCAAUUUCGCAUUUUUUGCCGAUCCGCACACAUUGGAAUUUCGCUAACUCCUCCGAAGGCUUUCAUUCCACCGGCAACACAUUUGCUCAGGCCAAUCUACACCCCAUGGCCAUUAAAAGUUAUUCAAAUCAUGAAGCUGCACCCCACGGUUUAGGUUCUAGGGGGCGCCAAAAAUAACCCUAAAAUCCACAUAUUUAAAAGUCUUAUAACUUUUUAUUUUUGUCCUCACUGGCCUCCAAGUUUUCUAGGAUGAUGCAAUGUCCAGCCAUCAACACAUCUGUGAAGGAAUUUUUACUCCCCAAAAGAGCGCCCCCCCAUGGCAGGAGAAAAAAGUCCAUUUUUUCUUGUCCCCUAAGGUGAAAAUACACAUUGUUGAGUGUCACGCCUGUAUGCUUUGGCAAAAUGACACAAAAAUUGACACACACAUGUAUCUCAAUAAGAUCUACAAAAAAGUCUAUGCGCGCGUAUCUGUCAAAUGUACGGUUAAAGGGUUAUUCCGCAUUUUUUGGCCAAUACGCACACAUUGGAAUUUCGCUAACUCCUCCGAAGGCUUUCGUUCCACCGGCACCACAUUUGCUCAGGCCAAUCUACACCCCAUGGCCAUUAAAAGUUAUUCAAAUUAUGAUGCUGCACCCCACGGUCUAGGUUCUAGGGGGCGCCAAAUAUAACC
rnacentral:lncRNA from 1 species